GGAGAGGUCGCAUAGCCUGGCUUAGUGCGCACGCUUGGAAAGCGUGUGAUCAGAAAUGAUCCGGGGGUUCGAAUCCCCCCCUCUCCGCCA
rnacentral:tRNA from 1 species